GUCCGCGUGGCCUAAUGGAUAGGGCUCUGACUUCGAAUCAGAAGAUUGCAGGUUCGAGAUCCUGUCGCGGACG